AUUGAACGCUGGCGGCGUGCCUAACACAUGCAAGUCGAGCGGUAACAGGUGUAGCAGUACAUGCUGACGAGCGGCGAACGGGUGAGUAAUGCUUCGGAAUCUACCUUAUGGUGGGGAAUAACUAGCCGAAAGGUUAGCUAAUACCGCAUACGUCCUACGGGAGAAAGCAGGGGAUCGCAGGACCUUGCGCCAAAAGAUGAGCCGAAGUCGGAUUAGCUAGUUGGUAGGGUAACGGCCUACCAAGGCGACGAUCCGUAGCUGGUCUGAGAGGACGACCAGCCACACUGGGACUGAGACACGGCCCAGACUCCUACGGGAGGCAGCAGUGGGGAAUAUUGGACAAUGGGGGAAACCCUGAUCCAGCGACGCCGCGUGUGUGAAGAAGGCCUGCGGGUUGUAAAGCACUUUUAGUGGGGAUGAAAUGUGCAGGGUUAAUACCUCUGCAUUUUGACCUAACCCACAGAAAAAGCACCGGCUAACUCUGUGCAGCCGCCGCGGUAA
rnacentral:rRNA from 1 species